AACACGUAAACAACCUGCCUUCAGGAUGGGGACAACAGACGGAAACGACUGCUAAUACCGAAUAAGUUCCAAGAGCCGCAUGGCCCAUGGAAGAAAAGGUGGCCUCUACCUGUAAGCUAUCGCCUGAAGAGGGGUUUGCGUCUGAUUAGCUGGUUGGAGGGGUAACGGCCCACCAAGGCGACGAUCAGUAGCCGGUCUGAGAGGAUGAACGGCCACACUGGAACUGAGACACGGUCCAGACUCCUACGGGAGGCAGCAUG
rnacentral:rRNA from 1 species